rnacentral:rRNA from 1 species
UCUGAUGCUUAUAGCGUAGUGGAUCCACUCCAAUCCAUCCCGAACUUGGUUGUUAAACACUACAGCGGCAAUGAUACUGAGGGGGGGGCCCCUUGGGAAAGUAGCUCAGUGUCAGA